GAAAAAAAAUCAAAUACUAACAACAAUGACAACAAAUGAUCUGAUUGCGAAUCCGCGUAAAUAAAAUUCAUUUGCUUUUUUUUCUCUAUUGUUGUUGAUGGCUGUCAAAAUUCUGAAGAAAAAGAAGAAUUGAAAAUUCAUUCUAGAUCUCUAACCCUCAAGGAGAAUUUGGAAUUACGUUUCGUUUUUUUUCUGUUGCUGUUCUUUUUCUUGUUCAAUUUUUAUUAUCUGUCCACAUACAAACACACACAUACAGUUUAAAUAGUAUCAUUAUCAGUAUUUAUCGGCACUUGGACCGAUUAAUCAUUGAAAAUCAUUAAUGUAUGCCUGAUUUUGAAUGAAACAUACCAACAGCCAAACAUUUUGCCGGUUUUUAUUUGUAAACACAUACGCCCAAUCCAUUAACUAUAGUUAUUUGUUAGUUUGUAAUGAUAAUGAUGAUGAUUGUUAUUAUUGUUGUGUUAAUGGUUUAUUGUUGUUGUUAAGGGGUUAAUUAGCAUUUCAAUCUUCUCUAUCUAUAUAAAAAUGUAAACCGUUUUUUUUGUUAUUUAGAGCUACUCUCCAAAGUACUGGACCGAUUGUUUUGAAAUUUUCACACAAUGUUGCAAUCAAACAGGAGCAGGUUUGUAAAUAAUAAAAUCUACUAGUCUAUGUCGCUUUCCACUGUAAACUGCAAUUUUACACUCGCCAAGCGCUUGCACUGUGUAUUAACUUGCCAUUUAAUGCGGGUGCCUGUGUGAGUAUGUAUUUGAUGUUGAAAUCUUGCUUGAAGACUGCAUUUAUUGGAAUGAUUUUUUCUUUGUUUUUGUUCCCGUUAUCUAUGAUCUACUCAUCGUUUGAAAAUGGCGCAUAGACGCAACAUUGAAGCUCGAAUAUUGACAAAGUGGCUAUGAUUCAUUUUGCAGCAAAACGAUCGAGAUCCUAAGCUACCAUUUAAGUUAGUGCGUGGACGAUUUCCUGUCGUAUUGGUUUUUGGACUGACAAUUAAUUAAUGUUUUAAGGGAAAUCUUUCGAUAAAAUAAGUGUGUACCUUCCCACACCAGUAUUGCAACAUGGAAUGAUUUAUGUGGCUUUUAGCCCCUACAAAAAUCCUUAUAAUCUGAAGAUAACAGACGUGAAGUGACCAGGAUAGCGUGGUUUAAUCACGAAAAAGAAAAUCAUCGACCUUAAAAUGAAAUAAUAAUUAUCUGCCAAUGCCAAUUUUUUUCAAUUCAUAUUUUUUUGCUUCAUCGUUAUUGCAUUAUCGUUUUUUCUGGUCCUGAAAAUAUUUUUUUUUUUUGACUUUUAUCGAAUUGCUGAAUUUUUCAAAUUUGUAAAUAAAGACAAAAAUUAU